UUUUUUUUUUUUAAUUCCAAUUUUUUCCUACUCCGACCUAUUUCUUCUUUUUCUUUGAUUUUUUUUUUUUAUGGCUAUCUUUCUCUAUCUUUUAGCUUUAAUAAUAGUGGCCUUAAAUCAUUUGGAACCCCAUAUUCUUUGAUUUGGCUUUCUCGAUGUUGAAAUUUCUGUCCAAAAAUUAUGUUUUGUGCUUGAUUUGCAGAAGAGUUUGGAUUGAUAAGGCUUCUAGUAGGUGGAGUCUAAGUGGGUUGCUUUGAUUUUGUGCUAGGGUUGUGAUUGAGGAGGGAAAAUUGUAAUGGAGGAGAGUGUGCAAUGGAAUUGGUCACUUGUGCCUGAAAAUGAGACGUUUGACCAUUUGAUUGAAGAACAAGGACGUGAGAUUAGCUCAAGCUCUGAUUUUCUUACAUUGGAGACCACAGGGCUUUAGGAGCACAGUCACAGUGGCUCUGAGGACUAUCUUCCUUUCUUCAUUGAGUUGGCCAACUUGAAAGGCUAAUGGACCCGAUUGUAUUAACCUAAUACCUAAUGUUGCUGAUAAAGAAGAAAGACACUAUGUUGAUAAUAGGAAGCUGAAGAAGAAAGUAUCUUCAUCGUCAGGGUUGAUUUCAAGAAAGCCAAUAGAGAUUCUAGUGAACAUGAAGGGGGACUUUCCAGGGUUGAUUUCAAGAAAGCCAAUAGAGAUUCUAGUGAACAUGAAGGGGGACUGUCCUUGAAGCGUAGCAUGACUUGGGUUAGGCUCUUGUUGUGUUUCUGUUUCUACGUUCUAAGCUUGAGCCAUUCCUUUUUCAGGGGCUCCUUAUGUGGAAUUCUUGAAGCCAUCCUUCAGCUUCCUUGCAUAAAUAGGGUUCUUUUCUUGGUGGCAUGUUCUUCGUACUAGAAGAACACUCAAGGGCGUUUCCUUGAGCUGGGCCAUAGAGAAACCUUGGGCUCUGAUAAGGACCAGACUGACUCGAUGACUCUAAAAAGACGGAUUGAGAUGUUGAAGGAAAGUUUUUCUAAACUCUUGCUUGGAGAAGAUAUGACGGCUGCAGAAAUGUGAUUUGUAUGGCAUUGGCUAUAUCUAAUGCCAUUACAAAUCUUUGGGGUCACUCUGUUUGGGCAACAAUGGCGAUUAGAACUUAUUCCAUAAGAGAAGAAAAUGCGGUGGUGAAGGAAGAUGGAUUGGCUUCUUUGUGUUAGUGAUCACAUUGUCGAGUUGACGCCUACUAGGCAAAUGUUUCCUGAUUGAAGCAAGCUUGAGGUACCGCAUAACUUCAAACGAGCUCUUUAUGGCAGUAUGAGUUUUGUUUUGUAAGUAUGAAGUUUGUGCCUUUUGGAAUUGGCUGUUCUAUUUAUUUUGUCUUCCAUACGGUUUGUCUUCAUAGCUUUCUUCGUAUAACUAAAUGCCAACAUGAUUGAGAAUGCAAUGAGAAUCCAUUCAUAUAUAAACAU